rnacentral:rRNA from 1 species
GAUGAACGCUGGCGGCGUGCCUAAUACAUGCAAGUCGAGCGAACAGACGAGGAGCUUGCUCCUCUGACGUUAGCGGCGGACGGGUGAGUAACACGUGGAUAACCUACCUAUAAGACUGGGAUAACUUCGGGAAACCGGAGCUAAUACCGGAUAAUAUAUUGAACCGCAUGGUUCAAUAGUGAAAGACGGUUUUGCUGUCACUUAUAGAUGGAUCCGCGCCGCAUUAGCUAGUUGGUAAGGUAACGGCUUACCAAGGCAACGAUGCGUAGCCGACCUGAGAGGGUGAUCGGCCACACUGGAACUGAGACACGGUCCAGACUCCUACGGGAGGCAGCAGUAGGGAAUCUUCCGCAAUGGGCGAAAGCCUGACGGAGCAACGCCGCGUGAGUGAUGAAGGUCUUCGGAUCGUAAAGCUCUGUUAGUAGGGAAGAACAAAUGUGUAAGUAACUAUGCACGUCUUGACGGUACCUACUCAGAAAGCCACGGCUAACUACGUG